rnacentral:rRNA from 1 species
GAACGCGAAGAACCUUACCAGGUCUUGACAUCCCGCUGACCGCUCUGGAGACAGAGCUUCCCUUCGGGGCAGCGGUGACAGGUGGUGCAUGGUUGUCGUCAGCUCGUGUCGUGAGAUGUUGGGUUAAGUCCCGCAACGAGCGCAACCCUUAUUUCUAGUUGCCAGCAUUCAGUUGGGCACUCUAGAGAGACUGCCGUCGACAAGACGGAGGAAGGCGGGGAUGACGUCAAAUCAUCAUGCCCCUUAUGACCUGGGCUACACACGUGCUACAAUGGUUGGUACAACGGGAUGCUACCCCGCGAGAGGACGCCAAUCUCUUAAAACCAAUCUCAGUUCGGAUUGUAGUCUGCAACUCGCCUACAGAAGUCGGAAUCGCUAGUA